rnacentral:rRNA from 1 species
AGAGUUUGAUCAUGGCUCAGAUUGAACGCUGGCGGCAGGCCUAACACAUGCAAGUCGAGCGGUAGCACAGAGAGCUUGCUCUCGGGUGACGAGCGGCGGACGGGUGAGUAAUGUCUGGGAAACUGCCUGAUGGAGGGGGAUAACUACUGGAAACGGUAGCUAAUACCGCAUAACGUCGCAAGACCAAAGUGGGGGACCUUCGGGCCUCAUGCCAUCAGAUGUGCCCAGAUGGGAUUAGCUAGUAGGUGGGGUAACGGCUCACCUAGGCGACGAUCCCUAGCUGGUCUGAGAGGAUGACCAGCCACACUGGAACUGAGACACGGUCCAGACUCCUACGGGAGGCAGCAGUGGGGAAUAUUGCACAAUGGGCGCAAGCCUGAUGCAGCCAUGCCGCGUGUGUGAAGAAGGCCUUCGGGUUGUAAAGCACUUUCAGCGGGGAGGAAGGCGUUAAGGUUAAUAACCUUGUCGAUUGACGUUACCCGCAGAAGAAGCACCGGCUAACUCCGUGCCAGCAGCCGCGGUAAUACGGAGGGUGCAAGCGUUAAUCGGAAUUACUGGGCGUAAAGCGCACGCAGGCGGUCUGUCAAGUCGGAUGUGAAAUCCCCGGGCUCAACCUGGGAACUGCAUUCGAAACUGGCAGGCUAGAGUCUUGUAGAGGGGGGUAGAAUUCCAGGUGUAGCGGUGAAAUGCGUAGAGAUCUGGAGGAAUACCGGUGGCGAAGGCGGCCCCCUGGACAAAGACUGACGCUCAGGUGCGAAAGCGUGGGGAGCAAACAGGAUUAGAUACCCUGGUAGUCCACGCCGUAAACGAUGUCGAUUUGGAGGUUGUGCCCUUGAGGCGUGGCUUCCGGAGCUAACGCGUUAAAUCGACCGCCUGGGGAGUACGGCCGCAAGGUUAAAACUCAAAUGAAUUGACGGGGGCCCGCACAAGCGGUGGAGCAUGUGGUUUAAUUCGAUGCAACGCGAAGAACCUUACCUGGUCUUGACAUCCACAGAACUUAGCAGAGAUGCUUUGGUGCCUUCGGGAACUGUGAGACAGGUGCUGCAUGGCUGUCGUCAGCUCGUGUUGUGAAAUGUUGGGUUAAGUCCCGCAACGAGCGCAACCCUUAUCCUUUGUUGCCAGCGGUUAGGCCGGGAACUCAAAGGAGACUGCCAGUGAUAAACUGGAGGAAGGUGGGGAUGACGUCAAGUCAUCAUGGCCCUUACGACCAGGGCUACACACGUGCUACAAUGGCAUAUACAAAGAGAAGCGACCUCGCGAGAGCAAGCGGACCUCAUAAAGUAUGUCGUAGUCCGGAUUGGAGUCUGCAACUCGACUCCAUGAAGUCGGAAUCGCUAGUAAUCGUAGAUCAGAAUGCUACGGUGAAUACGUUCCCGGGCCUUGUACACACCGCCCGUCACACCAUGGGAGUGGGUUGCAAAAGAAGUAGGUAGCUUAACCUUCGGGAGGGCGCUUACCACUUUGUGAUUCAUGACUGGGGUGAAGUCGUAACAAGGUAACCGUAGGGGAACCUGCGGUUG